GAACUGUUCCCUUCAGUGGGGUAACGAACGCAACCCCCGUUGCCUGUUGCCUAUAUGGUCAGGCGAGACUGCUCCCUCACGGGAGAGGAAGGUGGGGAUGACGCCAGAUCAGCAUGUCCCUCUGAUACCUUGGGCUGCACGCAUAAUACAAUGGUCGGUACAACGGGUUGCAAUGCCGUAAGGCGGAGCCAAUCCUUAUAAAACCGACCCCAGUACGGAUUGAGGUCUGCAAUCGACCUCAUGAAGCCGGAAUCGCUAGUAAUCCCGGGUCAGCCAAACCGGGGUGAAUACGUUCUCGAGUCUUGUACUCAUUCAGAAAUGUGCUUGGUAGUUAUUCAAUCCAGUCCGUU
rnacentral:rRNA from 1 species